AUCAGCUUGAUUGGAGAGGAGAAGGCUGCCAGUGGCCACAGGGGUGCAGCCUGUCCCCUGCAUGGUCCCCACGAUGCAUCAAGAGCUGGGAGCAUCUAGGGGCAAAAUAAGAAAUGAGGCCAGGACUGAGCUCUUCAUUUGCCAGUUUUGACCUGCAAAGCCUGGGGCUGCUUCCCCCUAGCACAGGGGACGGACAGCCCGAAGGACUGUGGGGACAUGCAUCAUGUCAGGUUUCCUUGGGUCCAGGGAGCAGCUUGGCUGACUGGCAGAUGAGGUCAUGGCCACCCCGCUGCUGGCUAACUGCAGCUACUUCUGCCAGCCAGUGGACUACAGAUGGAGCAAGCAUGGAAUGAGGGUAUGGCAGGGAGCAGGAAGCAAGCCUAGAGAGGGUUAGGAGGAACAACUUCAUAACAAUCGGAGGUCAAGGAGGCAUCUUCCUGGAGACAGGAAGGUAGGCAUUGUGGAAUCAGCGGUGCGUAGAACAGUGAGGAUUUGGGGCUGAACCCAGCCCAGGUGGGACAAGCCGUGGCACCAGCCGGACUGCAGUCUGAUGGAACUUCCCCUUCCUGCCCAGCAGAUGGCGAGCGUGUGCUGCUGGUGCCUCUUUCCAAAGGACGUUGAAUUGCUUGACAGGUGUUCCAGGUGUUCUUUACUUUAUGAAUGAAGCCGGAGCAGCCCACCUUCCUGCAUCUCUACCACCAUGGCACCAUGCCCUGUGAUGGGUGGGCUGGAGUCAAAUACGUAGCAGGCAACCAGGGUCAGUUUGUGGCCACUGCUGCCCCCUCUUCCUACAGUCUCCUCACUGAGUGCCCCUUCCCUGUUGGGUUCAACACAUCUGUGCUCCUGUAAGCCCUCAGCCUCCUGGUUCUCUUCCUCAACUUCUACCACCAGACACAUCUGAGAAGCAAGCAAGAGAGGCUGAACUAGGAGCAGGACCCAGGGACUGAAACCAUCACAGCAUCCCCACAGAGAAUUGGGUGGAAGGCAGCGUGGCUUCCAGCUUACUGGUGCUGAGCAGAUUUCUCUGGGUCUCCAUUGUAUCCUCUGAAGGAAGGAGGAGGAUUGCCUUCUGUCCAGAUCUCAGGAUCAAACAAAUAGGUCCAACUUCCUGUGCUCACUUCAGUUAGAGCACUUCUCAUGUGACUUUGUAGCUUUGUGUGCAUCUCCUUCCUCUACUAGACCUAAGCCCCUCACGGGAGGGACUCUCUUAUUCUUGAUGUUCCCCACACCUGGAAUUUCAAUAAACAUCUCAA
rnacentral:sRNA from 1 species